UCUGUUCUCAAUAAGCCGGACACUGGGCAUUUCCAAAAGUUUUAAUCAGAUGGAUCUACCUUAAGGCUCUGGUAUCUUGAGAAUUAAACCACUGACUACAUGUUAUCCCCUGACCAAGGAUCCUGCUUCUGCCUGUUCAAGGCACUUGCUGGGGGCCCAGAGCGCAGGCCUUCCUUCUGCUUGUCCACGUUUGGAGAAUUGUUUGGCCUCUCUAAGCUAAACAUGGGGAUAAUUAGCCCAGGAUUCAGAGUACACACAUUCGGGAUUACUCUCCUGGGAAUGGGACCCGUGUUCUGGUGUAAGCCUUCUGUUUCCUGAGCUGUGUGAUGUUCAGCAAGUUGCUUAACCUUGGAGAAACAAAGGGAUUCAUCUGACUCAACUGGAGGUGGCUCCCUUCCCUAAUUUACUGCUCCAUUCCUAAGGCUGACACCCUCCUGGGCUCAGUGUGAGCACAGGAGGAGGCAACCACCACGGAGAUUCAAGUUCCCAGGCACGGAGCUGCCCCUCCACUGGACCCCAAGGCAAAGAAAAAUCCCAGCCUCUUUCUCGUGGUCAUCUGGUUUUGUUGAACCUGGAAAGGAAGUAAAUUCCAAAGGCAGGAAAUGACCCAGAGGCCAUAACAACAUGUGAAAAGCCAAGACUGGUGCUUCCGUCACUUUGUUUCAAACUAUUCUAAUCUGCGUCCCAUCCCCGGGAAGCCUAACCCAUUACCAGAUGGAGAUCUGUUUUCAGAUGCCUCUUGGCAUCUGCCACUCCCGGCUGGUGACAUUUGCACGUUUCAGAAGGCAAACCUGUGCCGACAUCUUCAAACUUCCGGAGAGGUGCAGCCCCAGGAAAGUCCUUGGGUCUCUGGCUGACAGCACCAACCAUCUGACGCGCUUCUUCGGCUGCUGGCCUCCAGCCUGGAACACUAGCACGCUGUGUCUGUUCUUGAAGAUUUGCAGAAUCUGAAGUCAGAAUGCCCCAUAUUGCCAGAAAAGGCUGGCUCCCUUGCCUGCCGCCAGGCUUUCCUAAAGGAACCCAGUGAGUCAGGAAGAAAACGUGUCUGAGGGAGAUCUGGGGGAGGCCUGGUUCCUCUUCUGGCUUCUGAAAAUUUCCUCCUGUUUUACAACGCUGGUAACGGUUAGGGACUCGGUUGUACUUUUUCCCUGUUUCCUCCUCUAUCGGCUCUCACUUGGAGAGACCUCUCAUGUACCAUUCAUUAAAUUAGCUCUGCAAAAGCAGGAGGCCCUCUGAAGAGGAAUUAGUCACUGCUGCAAAAAAGUUGUGACUUCAUUUCUAUCCCCAGGAGCAAGGCAAGAAAAAACUCCCACCUCUUCCCUCAGAAGGAACCAUCAUUCAGCUUUGUUCUGGCCCAGGGGCUUGUACUUUUCCUAGGCUUUUAAUUUUUCCUGAACACCGAACGUCAGCCUUCCCCCUGAAGGCUGUGUGCCAGCUGGAUUCCAAAUACAGCCAGGUGGCUGCUGGGGUACCUGCUCCAAACAGGUAUCCAGUUAAUUCUCCCGCCCCCAUCGUCAGAAAGCAGAAAGUAGCUAUACGGGGAUGAGUAAUGUGCCUAACUCUUUCAGCACUUUCAAAUGUUAAACGGAUUAAAGUAUAAAGAAUCCAGUAUAUCUGUUGACGUCUGGUUGACAGAAAAGCUCCAGCAAGGAAGAAGUGGGAAGUUCCACAUCAGGCCGGGGAAACGGGAACGCAGUGGAGGGCACUGCUCUCCCGGGCCAGCCCUGGCACCAGAUUCCCAUCCCUGAGUGCAAAGCCGCUCUGCGCCACUGUCUAAAAUUGUGUUCAUUAGGAAAGAGAGUUUAAAGAGUAUGUUCUGAUAAGCUUGGGUUUACCCAUGGAAAGGGAAUGUCGUCUCCAUGGUCAGACAGCACGUUAAUAUCUGAGGCAGGUUGUAUCAACUGUGUGUAGCUGGUAGUAAAAAGAAGAUAAAAGAAGCUAAGAGAUCUUCAUAAAAAGGGAGGGGGGAGAGAGAGACUGAGACUUCUUUGUUGUUGCUGGGAAGAGACAAUCUUGCAGAAGAUAUGAGACAUAAGAGCCUCUCGCUCUCCUUUGCUCUGCCUAUAAAAAAUGAGCCGGAAGAGAAGCUAGAAACAGGAGACAGGGAGCCAUCUUUCCAACUGUUGGCACCAGCCAAACAGGAUAAAUAGUUCAUAUUCUGAUGAUGAUGACAACAGUAAUAAUGAAGAAAAGGUAUUGACCCAGGUGGAAAAAAAAGGCUUUUAAUUUCAAGCUAUGCUUAAGUCCCAAAGUACUUCUAUCAGAGCCACUUACAUUAUCCAAGGGACUUUUAACUACAAUGACAGGAAUUUAGAGUAAGUGAAAUAAUACAAUUAAAUAGAAAAAUCAGGAUUAGAUUACAAUGUGAUUGAGAAUGGUUAAAAAUUAGUGGGAAAGGUACAAAAUUAUACAUAUUUUUGUACUGCUCUGUCUUGAUCUGAUUGUUAAAAAAUUAACAUAGUUGAAAACUGUAUUCUUAUUUAAAUAUACAACAGAGCCAAAGGUUUUGUUAUGUUCUCUGGAGGCACAUAUUUGGGAUGCCUGUCCUGUCUUCUAUAACCUUCAUCAUAGACAAAGAACAGAGGAGGGAAGAAUACACAACUUCUUGAGUGUUAGCCACUUAAAGUAGAUGCUUAUAAUUUUGCAACUGAGGGAACAGAAUCAAAAAUAGAAAAGGAAUAGAGCCAUGAGUCCCAAACUGUGCCCAGGACACCACAGCAAGCUCCGAAGGGCGCUGCAACACAUGUUAAACGUUGAGGAGUGCAUGGUAAUGCUUGACAUCUGUUGGACACCAAGUGAAUGAACUACUAGGUCAAGGCAGCUCCUAGUUUCAACAUUAGAUUGUUCUCCAUUCCUUUCAGAGAUGUCUUAUCUUUGAGAAGUGGGGUUUUCAGCUGUUGUUAUAAAAUGCAAGUACCAAUUGAAAAAUUAGCAUGGACCAAAAGGUUACAGGUGGUUACACAGAUUCCAAUAUUUGAGAAAAUGUUCAGUGCCCAGUUGGCAUACACAUCCUGUUAUAAGCAACUGUGGUUAAGAAUAAAAUAAAAAAAUUUUUUCUUUCAUUUUAUUAUAUAUAUUGUUUUUUUCAAACAGCUAAGUUGUUAGGGCCUAACUGCUGCAUAAAUGAUAUUUCUGUUAGGCAUUUCAUUUGGCCUAGGGGCUCUGUGAGAAAAUUACUGAGACAUGACGCUGCUGUGAAUUGAGAAAGUUUGGAAACCUCUGGAUUAGAGCAAUAUAAACUAUCGAUGGGCACAGGUGGAUUUUAAUGGCUUAGACUCACCGGUAAGAAGAAAAAAGUGAUUCUCUCCUCCUUUCCCCAUUCAGCCAGGGCACUGCUCCCAGUAUUUUACUCUGUUCCCAUAUGGAAUGAGCAUUCCUAGUCUGCUUGUUUUUUUUAAUUAAUGCAACUAUUUGGUAGACUAUGAAAAGUUAUCUCGAACAAUGCUUCUCAACUCAUCUUCAGUGAAGGACAUUAAAAAAAAUCCCCAAUCUGUCAUGGACUAUGUGAUGAAUAAUUUUAUGUGUCAAUGUGUGUGUUACAGGCCAUUGUGUGGGCUCUGACUCCUGGCGACCCUAUGCAUGAGCACUGGCCACAACGCCUGUCUUCAGCAGCCCUGUUCAGUUCCUGUGGACUGCUGCCUAUGGCCUCUCUUACGGGGUUAAUCCAUCGCAUAGUUGGCCUUCUUUUCUUGCUGCCUUCUGUUUUUCUCAGCGUUAUUGUCUUUUCAAAGAACCCGGCCCUCUCAUGACGCACUCGAAAUAGGACAACUUCUGUAUUGUCAUUUUUUCCUCCAGCAAUGUUUCAGGCUUCAUUUGUUCUAGGACCCCCUUGUGGUCUUUCUGGUGGUCCAAGGUAUCCAUAGAGCUCUCCUCCGACACCAUAACUCAAAUGAAUCAAUUUUUUCUCUAUCAGCUGUCUUCACGCUCCAACUUUUGCAUCUGUACAUAGUGAUUGGGAAUAUGAGAGUGUGGAUAAUCUUAGCCUUGGUGUCCAGUGACAUAUCUUUGCUCUUGGUGACCUUUCCUAAUUCUUCCAUUGCUGCCUUUCCAAGAUUCAGCUGCCUCUUUUUAAAAAAAUAUGUUUUGAUUGAU